rnacentral:tRNA from 1 species
GCGGCUCAGCGGUUAAGAGCACUGGCUGCUCUCCAAGAGGUCCUGAGUUCAAUUCUCAGCAACCACA